UGGGGAAUAUUGCACAAUGGGCGCAAGCCUGAUGCAGCAACGCCGCGUGAGUGAUGAAGGUCUUCGGAUUGUAAAGCUCUGUCUUUGGGGACGAUAAUGACGGUACCCAAGGAGGAAGCCACGGCUAACUACGUGCCAGCAGCCGCGGUAAUACGUAGGUGGCAAGCGUUGUCCGGAUUUACUGGGCGUAAAGGGUGCGUAGGUGGAUAUUUAAGUCAGAUGUGAAACCCCUGGGCUCAACCCAGGGACUGCAUUUGAAACUGGAUAUCUGGAGUGCAGGAGAGGUAAGUGGAAUUCCUAGUGUAGCGGUGAAAUGCGUAGAGAUUAGGAAGAACACCAGUGGCGAAGGCGACUUACUGGACUGUAACUGACACUGAGGCACGAAAGCGUGGGUAGCAAACA
rnacentral:rRNA from 1 species